AAUGGGACGGGGCGAGAGGCAGAGAACCUGGGCUGCUGCUGCAGCUGCAGAGGCUCCAGCGGCGUCGCGGCAGCAGGUGCGCCUCUCUCGCAAUCUCUCUCUCUCGCUCUCUCGCUCGCUUUCCUAUGAUGUGCCUGGAGAGCGAGGGCGGGGCGGCGGCGGGAGCGUCGGGGGUCCUCCAUUGCAGCAGCAGCAGCCGCGGGAGACGCCAGCGGGUCUCUUCUUCCUCCGCCCUGGGAGGAGACGACGAAGAGGAGGACGACGGAGGAGGAGGAGGAGGGGGCGGCGAGGGGAUGAAGGCUGCUGCCGCGGCGGCCCCUUCCUCCUCCUCCUCGUCCGCGUCCGGCCAUGGCGCCUCUUCGGGAAGCCUGGGCAGGACGCGCGUGGCCGCCGCAGCCAUCCUCAGCGCCGGCAACGUCCUCAAUUACCUCGACAGGUACACCGUCGCAGGGGUUUUGCUGGACAUCCAGCAGCAUUUCGGGGUCAAGGACAGCGGUGCCGGCCUGCUGCAGACAGUCUUCAUCUGCAGCUUCAUGGUGGCGGCACCCAUCUUCGGCUACCUGGGCGACAGGUUCAACCGGAAGGUGAUUCUCAGCUGCGGGAUCUUCUUCUGGUCGGUCAUCACCUUCUCCAGCUCCUUCAUCACCCAAGAGUAUUUCUGGCUGUUUGUCCUCUCGCGGGGCCUGGUGGGCAUUGGCGAGGCCAGCUACUCCACCAUCGCCCCCACCAUCAUCGGCGACCUCUUCACCAAAAACACCCGGACCCUCAUGCUGUCCGUCUUCUACUUUGCCAUUCCUCUGGGCAGUGGUUUAGGAUACAUCACCGGUUCAAGCGUCAAGCAAUUGGCUGGGGACUGGCAUUGGGCCCUCCGGGUCUCUCCCCUUUUGGGCGUCAUCACCGGCACCUUGAUUUUGAUCUUUGUCCCGGCGGCCAAAAGAGGCACCACGGAGCCCUUGGGGGCCCAGCUGAAGGCCCGGACCUCCUGGCUGAGAGACAUGAAGGCCCUGGUCCGCAACCGCAGCUACGUCUUCUCCUCCUUGGCCACCUCCGCGGUCUCCUUUGCCACGGGCGCCCUGGGCAUGUGGAUCCCGCUCUACCUCCACCGGGCCCAAGUGGUCCAGAAGACGGCCGAGACCUGCACCGCCCAGCCCUGCGGCACCAGGGACAGCCUGAUCUUCGGGGCCAUCACCUGCUUCACGGGCUUCUUGGGCGUGAUCACGGGGGCCGGGGCCACCAAGUGGUGCCGGGGGAAGACUCAGCGGGCCGACCCCCUCGUCUGCGCCGUGGGGAUGCUGGGCUCCGCCAUCUUCACCUGCCUCAUCUUCGUGGCCGCCAAGAGCAGCAUCGUGGGCGCCUACGUCUGCAUUUUCGUUGGCGAAACGCUGUUGUUUUCCAACUGGGCCAUCACAGCCGACAUCCUUAUGUAUGUGGUUAUUCCUACUCGUCGGGCGACGGCAGUUGCUUUGCAGAGCUUCACAUCGCAUCUUCUGGGAGACGCUGGGAGUCCUUACCUGAUUGGAUUUAUCUCAGACCUGAUCCGCCAGAGCACCAAGGGGACCGCGCUCUGGGAGUUCCUCAGCCUGGGCUAUGCGCUCAUGCUCUGCCCCUUCGUGGUCGUCCUGGGCGGCAUGUUCUUCCUGGCCACCGCCCUCUUCUUCCUCGGAGACCGGGCCAAAGCCGAGCAGCAUCCGGAUUGGGAUGCGCUGGCCCCGGGCUACUCCAUUAACUCGGAAGACGCUGCCCCAUGAUAACCGCGAGGGAUUUCGGGGGGCGAACCAACUGAUGAUGCCUCCAGCUUCUGUCAAAGUCUAAGUCUGGCUGACAUCUCCGGCGAUGAAGGAAACCUUUUGUGAGCGGCCGAGAAACCCCAAAACACGAGCCCGGAGCAAGGAGAGCUCUCCCUAGACACAGCCGGGCCCUAUGGCUUCUAUGGGGCCGAGGAGCCCUGGGACUCAAAGGGAAAUACAUGGUCGGACAGCCGGGCCCACGGCGGGACCCUUUUGCCAACAGCCUUUACCUCCAGCCAAAACCUUCGAAGGAACUCUUGGCCUUGCAGAGUCCUAGAUAUUAUUAUUAUUAUUAUUAGGUCAUAUUUUGCCUCCAUCUGCCGAAGUUCAAAAACUUGGCAGAGAUGAGUUUCAUGGAUAUUUUGAUGAAAGAUCUCGGGGUUAGGAUGGGGAGACAUAGCUCUGGGAUAAGCAUAUGCCUCUGGAUGCAAGAUCUUGCAUAUAUAUCUAUAUCUAUAUAGAGAGAGAAUGUAUGUAUAUGUACAUGGGAGAGUGUGUGUGUGUAUAUAUAUACAUACAUACAUACAUAGAGAGAAUAUAUGUAUAUGUACAUGUGUAUCUCUUUCUCUCUCUCUCUAUAUAUAUAUAUAUAUGCCUCUCGAAACAAAAUUCUGGCUAUACACAUACACAUAUACAUACAUAGACACAAACAUAUAUAUAGAAUGUAUAUGUACAUAUGUAUGUGUAUAUAUAUAUUUUUAUAUGCCUCUCAAAACAAAAUUCCAUCUCUCUCUAUAGAUAUAUAUACAUACAGACACAUAUAGAGAAUGUAUAUGUAUGUGUGUAUGUAUACUUAUAUGCCUCUCAAAACAAAAUUAUGUCUAUACAUACACACACACAUAGAGAAUGUAUAUGUACAUUUGUAUGUGUGUGUGUAUAUAUAUAUUCUUAUAUGUCCCUUGAAUCAAAAUUCUGGCUAUUUACAUACAUACAUAUAGAGAGAGAAUGUAUGUAUAUAUGUACAUAUGUGUCUAUAUAUUUAUGUUUAUAUGGCUCUCGAAACAAAAUUCUGGCUAUACACACACACACAAUAUAUAUGUACAUGGGUAUGUGUAUAUAUAUUCUUGUACGCCUAAUUCUCUAUACAUAUACAUACAUACACACAUAUAGAGAGAGAAUGUAUAUGUACAUGUACAUGUGUGUGUAUAUAUACACACACAUACACUUAUAUGUCUCUUGAAUCAAAAUUCUGGCUAUUUACAUACAUAGAGAGAAUGUAUGUAUAUAUGUACAUGUGUGUCUAUAUAUAUAUAUUCUUAUAUGCCUCUCGAAACAAAAUUCUGUCUCUCCCUAUAUACAUACACACACAUAUAGAGAGAAUGUAUAUGUACAUGUGUGUGUGUGUGUAUAUUCUUAUAUGCCUCUCAAAAGAAAAUUCUGGCCAUAUAUAUAUACUAGCUGUGCCUGGCCACUCGUUGUUGUGGCUAGGACUUUAUUUUUCUUUUCUUUUCAUUGUAUGAACGUAGAGGCAUGGAUGAGAGGUUGUGCUGUCAAUUUUCGAGGUUGUGGGGUGUUUAGUUGUUUUGUCCGGUGCCGUGAUUCCAUUACCCUUUUAUAUAUAUAGAUAUAUACACAUACACACACAAUAUAAAUUACACACACAUAGAACUUGUAUAUAAUAUAAUUUAUUUCAUAUAACAUAAUAUAUACAUCAUGUAUAUUAUAUAUAAUACAUAUACAGUAUAUAUAUAUAUAUACACAUACACUGUAUGUAUAUAUUUAUUUAUUACAACAUAUAUAUCCUGCCCUUCUCAUCCAACAGGGGACUCAGGGCGACUUACUAUAUAUAUAUAUAUAUAUAUAUAUAUAUAUAUAUAUAUAUAUAUAUAGCCAACAUUUCGUUUCGAGAGGUAUAUAAAAACUGGGUGGAGAUACAAUAUAUUCCAAAACGUAUCUCCCUCAACUUCAUAGCCCAUAUCUUGCAUCAAGAGGUGUCUGCUUAUCCCAUUAACCACGUCUCCUAACGUUAACCCCAGAUUUUUCCUUGUAAGUAUGGGAGCCCAACUGGCCAUUUUUUUGUGUCGUCUUUGAGAGCAAGCGGAUCAGCGAGGAGACACCCGUGUAUUGAAAAUUUGUGAGAUGAUGAUGAUCGUCAUCAUCAUCUCUGUUGCCCCGUCUUUCCGACAAUAGAAAUGGCCAUGUUGGGAGUGGCCCCUUGGCUUACAAGCUGGGAUAAUAAUAGUAAUAAUAGUGUUGUUGGAACAGAAUUCUAACCUCUGCCGUGACCCACAGGACAUACCUCGCUAGCGUUGUCUCCAUCCACCCACAGUUUUAUUUUAUUUUUGCACUAUCGGUUCUCCGCUGGGACUACCUCGAACUCGCCACUGGGUUUGAACCAGAUGCUUUCCCUUUUCGACUGGGACGAGAUGAAAGAUGUGGCUCUGUUUGGAGAAGGCGGCCGGCUUUUGAAGGCGGGGGAGUCGCAUAUCGCCAAGUCUCAGACUUGCCGGACAAAUCCCUCGAAUGCUUUCCUGGACUCUGGGCCAGAAAAACAAAAGUGCCUUUUCCAAAGCUAUGGCAAACCUGGAGCCGGCUCCGAGGGGCAAAGAAGUGUUCACUAUCCCUUCCUCUUUCCCCCAAACUGUUUCAAACCGUACAUUGACUUGUUUUGGCUGCACCAAACUCUAGGAUCCAAGACAGUUCAGUCUUGGGAGGUGGAGAGAAUUUCGCAAGGAGAGAAAACACUGGGAUCACAAAGGGUUGUGUCGAUCUCUCAUUUAUCUAUCUCUUCAUCUCUCUAUCUCCAUUUAUUUAUCUCGAUGUGAAUCUAUCUCUUCGUCUAUCUAGAUCAGUGGUUCUCAACCUGUGGGUCCCCAAUGUUUUGGCCUUCAAUUCCCAGAACAGCUGGUAAACUGGCUGGGAUUUCUGGGAGUUGUAGGCCAAAACAUCUGGAGACCCACAGGUUGAGAACCACUCAUCUGGUGUCAAUCUCCGUCUAUCUAAUUUCUAUCUCCAUGUAUUUGUGUGUCUUCGUGUGCAUAUCUAUCUCUUCAUCCAUCCAUCCAUCCCUUCAUCUAUCUAUCUCUUCGUCUAUCCAUCCAUCUUGAUGUAUUUGUGUGUCUAUGUAUGUGUAUCUCUUCAUCUAUCUUGGUCUGUUAUCUAUCUAGUUUCUAUCUCCACAUAUUUGUGUCUUCGUGUGUGUAUCUGUUUAUCUCUUCAUCUAUCCCUCUUUGUCUAUCUCUUCAUCCAUCUGUCCAUCUCUUCAUCUAUCUCUUUGUCCAUCCAUCCAUCUCUUCAUCUGUCAGUCUCUUCGUCUAUCUCUUCAUCUAUCUUAUCUUCGUCUGUUAGCUAUGUAGCUAUCUAGUGUCCAUCUCCAUGUAUUUAUGUGUCUAGGUCUAUCAAUCUAUCUUUGUCCAUCCAUCUGUCUUUUUAUCUAUCUCUUCAUCUAUCUUAUCUUAAUCUGUUAUCUAUAUCUAGUGUGUAUCUCUUCAUCUAACCAUCCAUCUCUUCAUCUAUCUGUCCAUCUGUUAUCUAUCAUGUGUCGAUCUCUUCAUCUAUCUUCAUAUGUUAUCUAGUGUCUUAUCUCCAUGUAUUUAUGUGUCUAUGGGUAUCAAUCAAUCUCUUCAUCUCUUUAUCCAUCCAUCUAUCGAUCUCUAUCUAGUGUCUAUCUCCAUGUAUCUAUCUCUUAAUAUAUUAAGAGAUAGAUACAUGGAGAUAGACACUAGAUAGAGAUGGAUAGAUAAAGCGAUAGAUGAAGAGAUUGAUCGAUACCCAUAGACACAUAAAUGAAUGGAGAUAAGACACAACAUAUGAAGAUAUAUUGAUAUAUACAUGGAGAUAGACACUAGAUAGAGAUGGACAGAUGGAUGGAUGAAGAGAUUGAUUGAUACACAUAGACACAUAAAUGAAUGGAAUCUAUCUAGUGUCUAUCUCCAUGUAUCUAUCUCUUAAGACUCUCUAGAUAACAUAUGAAGAUAUAUUAAGAGAUAGAUACAUGGAGACACUAGAUAGAGAUGGAUAGAUGAAGAGAUUGAUCGAUACCCAUAGACACAUAAAUACAUGGCAUAUCUAGCCAUCUAUCUUUGUCCAUCCAUCCAUCUCGUCUCUCUUCAUCUGUCUUUUAAUCUAUUUCUUCAUCUAUCUUAAUCUGUUCUCUAUAUAUCUAGUGUCCAUCUCUUAUCAUCUAUCUCCAUGUGUCUAUGUGUCGAUCUCUUUAUUUUCAUGUUGUCUAGUGUCUAUCUUCAUGUGUCUAUGUGUAUCAAUCAUUCUCUUCAUCUAUCUCUUUAUCCAUCCAUCUCUAUCUAUAGUGUCCAUCUCCAUGUAUCUAUCUCUGAAGACACUAGAUAAUAUGAAGAUAUAUUAAGAUAGAUACAUGGACAUAGACACUAGAGAUAGAGAUGGAUGGAUAAAGAGAUAGAUGAAGAGAAUGAUCGAUACCCAUAGACACAUAGAUACGUGGAGGUAAGACACUAGAUAAAUAACAUAUGAAGAUAUAUUAAGAGAUAGAGAUACAUGGAGAUAAGACACUAGAUAACAUGAAGAUAUAUUCUCUCCAUGCAUUAUGUGUCUAUGUGUCUGUCUAUCUAGUGUCUUAUCUUCAUGUAUUUGUGUCUGUGUAUUGAUCAAUCUCUAUCCAUCUCUAUCUACUGUCUAUCUCCAUGUAUCUAUCUCUUAAGACAAUAUGAAGAUAUAUGAAGAGAUAGAUACAUGGAGAUAGACACUAGAGAUGGAUGAUAAAGAGAUAGAUGAAGAGGUUGAUCAAUACACAUAGACACAAAUACAUGAAGAUAAGACACUAGAUAGAUAACAUAUGAAGAUAGAUGAAGAGACAGAUACAUGGAGAUAGACACUAGAUAGAGAUGGAUGGAUGAAGAGAUUGAUCAAUACCCAUAGACACAUAAAUACAUGGAAUCUAUCUAGUGUCUUAUCUCCAUGUAUUUGCGUCUAUGGGUAUUGAUCAAUCUCUUCAUCGAUCUCUUUAUCCAUCUCUGUCUAGUGUCUAUCUCCAUGUAUCUAUCUCUUAAGACACUAGAUAACAUAUGAAGAUAUAUUGAUAGAUACAUGGAGAUGGACACUAGACAGAGAUGGAUAGACGGAUGGAUAAAGAGAAGAGGUUGAUACACAUAGAUGCAUGGAGAUAAGACACUAGAUAACAUAUGAAGAUAUAUUAUCUCCAUGCAUUUAUGUGCCUAUGUGUCUUGAUCAAUCUCUUCAUCUAUCUCUAUCUAUCCAUCUAUCUAUCUGCUGCUCUGUCUUCUAAAUCUAAGGUGCUCUCUGCUUCCAAACAUCAACCUGUCAACCACUAUGAUUGAUGGGAGGUUGUAUCCGCGCCACUUACAGUUCUGUGUCCGUCCGUCGGGGUCUGAACUUCCAGCCGAGAGAUCCACAAACCAUUGCUGAUGGCGUUGGGGUCGGAAGUGUGCUGUACAUUUUUGUUCUUUUUUCUUGUUAUACAAGGCAGGACUGAUUUUCUGAUUUUCUUUCAGAAGCAACGUCUAAAAAGACUACCGACGACUUAUUUUAUUUUUAAAAAGACUAAGGACGACGGACCUCAAAGAAAAAUAGUCGAGUAUCUAUAAAUAUAUAUAUAUAUAUACAUAUACCUGGUGAAGUCAAUGAGAAUUAAAAAGAAGUGUUUAAAUGCUUGA